rnacentral:rRNA from 1 species
AUUGAACGCUGGCGGCAUGCCUUACACAUGCAAGUCGAACGGCAGCACGGGGGCAACCCUGGUGGCGAGUGGCGAACGGGUGAGUAAAGCAUCGGAACGUAUCCUGGAGUGGGGGAUAACGUAGCGAAAGUUACGCUAAUACCGCAUAUUCUCUGAGGAGGAAAGCAGGGGAUCGCAAGACCUUGCGCUUUUGGAGCGGCCGAUGUCGGAUUAGCUAGUUGGUGGGGUAAAGGCCUACCAAGGCGACGAUCCGUAGCGGGUCUGAGAGGAUGAUCCGCCACACUGGGACUGAGACACGGCCCAGACUCCUACGGGAGGCAGCAGUGGGGAAUUUUGGACAAUGGGGGCAACCCUGAUCCAGCCAUGCCGCGUGAGUGAAGAAGGCCUUCGGGUUGUAAAGCUCUUUCGGCGGGGAAGAAAUCGCUUGGGUUAAUACCCUGAGUGGAUGACGGUGCCCGAAUAAGAAGCACCGGCUAACUACGUGCCAGCCGCCGCAGUAACAC